AAAGAAGAUACAUAGCUGAAAACACUUGAAGGUAUAGGCUACCUUGAAAGUCACGCAAGAACUGUUCUUCCUGGUUUCCAUAUCCAAGAUGCAGAAGUCAAGGCAUAGGGAUGUGAACAUACGUGGGUCGUGUUCCAUAGUACCUGGACCAAGAGAAGAGGUCUCUCUAUGUUGAGAAAAGGGCAAUGCCUUCCCACAGCAUGGUACUUCUUCUCCUUCUGAGAAUGAUACUGUUACAUAAAGGUUUUGGGUGGUGCCCCAGACCACAGAGAUUUCCUUCUGCCCAGCUGCGUGAGGCACACAUAUCCUGGGAUGGCAUUAGGAAGAUGGCCACUUUCACAUCAACUCAUGUGCUCUGGCACCGACCUCUCUUCUCUCUACCCAACCCAACUUCCCACCCACUGCUAUUGGGAUGAUACCUGCUCUUGGGUAAGGAACGCAUAUCCAAAUGCUACCUCAGAUCAGGGAGGUAAUAUCUGGCCUCAAUUCUCUGCCCUUAAAGAAUCUUGCAGCCAAAUUGGGUAAAGAAUCAAGACCCAUCGGUGUGUUUUAUUCAGGAGACCCAUCUCACGUGCAAAGACACACAUAGGCCCAAAAUAAAGGGAUGGAGGAAUAUUUACCAGGGAAAUGGAAAGCAAAAAAAAAAAAAAAAAAAAAAAAAAAAGCAAGGGUUGCAAUCCUAACCUCUGAUAAAACAGACUUUAAACCAACAAAGAUCAAAAAAGACAAAGAAGGGCAUUACAUACUGGUAAAGGGAUCAAUGCAACAAGAAGAGCUAACUAUCCUAAAUAUACAUGCACCCAAUACAGGAGCACACAGAUUCAUAAAGCAAGUUCUUAGAGACCUACAAAGAGACUUAGACUCCCACACAAUAAUAGUGGGAGACUUUAACACCUCACUGUCAAUAUUAGGCAGAUCAACAAGACAGAAAAUUAACCAGGAUAUUCAGGAUGUGAACUAAGCUCUGGACCAAGCGGACCUAAUAGACAUCUACAGAACUCUCCACCCCAAAUCAAUAGAAUAUACAUUCUUCUCAGCACCACAUCGCACUUAUUCUAAAAUUGACCACAUAAUUGGAAGUAAAACACUCCUCAGCAAAUGCGAAAGAAUGGAAAUCAUUACAGUCUCUCAGAUCACAGUGCAAUCAAAUUAGAACUCAGGAUUAAGAAACUCAGUCAAAACCGGACAACGACAUGGAAACUGAACAAUCUGCUACUGAAUGACUACUGGGUAAAUAACGAGAUUAAGGAAGAAAUAAAUAAGUUCUUUGAAACCAAUGAGAACAAAGACACAAUGUACUAGGGUCUCUGGGACACAGCUAAAGCAGUGUUUAGAGGGAAAUUUAUAGCACCAAAUGCCCACAGGAGAAAGCGGGAAAGAUCUAAAAUCUACACCUUAACAUCACAGUUCAAAGAACUAGAGAAGCAAGAGCAAACAAAUUCAAAAGCUAGCAGAAGGCAAGAAGUAACUAAGAUCAGAGCACAACUGAAGGAGACAGAGACACAUGGACACAGGAGAAUGAGAACACAUGGACACAGGGAGAGUAACACCACAGACUGGGGCCUGUAAGGGGUGGGGAGUGGUGGGGAGGGAUAGCAUUAGGAGAAAGAUCUAAUGUAGAUGAAAGUUUGAUGGGUGCAGCAAACCACCAUGGCACGUGCAUACCUAUGUAACAAACCUGCACAUUCUGCACAUGUAUCCCAGAACUUAAAGUAUAAUAAUAAUAAUAAUAAAAGAAUGUCAUAGCCAUCAUCUAUUGUAUACAACAGACCUCAAAUUAGUCUCUCUCUGCUUCUCCAACAGGGUGGCCUCUUCUAUGAAGCUCUCUACCCACGGGUUUCCCCAACAUCCCAUCCCCCACCCCUCUGGUUUCUCCUCCCCAUCGUCUUCACUUCAAAACGAGAAAAGAAAAAGAAAUUCAAGUGACUCAUCAGUCCACAUAGGCAGGAGUGGGAGAGGCGGAGAGAGUGAAUUUGUGGGUCCAGAUGAAUAUUUCCGCAGGCCUCUUGACUGCUUCACACGAUCUGCUGUGCUUCAUGAAAAA